rnacentral:rRNA from 1 species
AGAACGAACGCUGGCGGCAUGCCUAACACAUGCAAGUCGAACGCGUGUAGCGAUACACGAGUGGCGGACGGGUGAGUAACGCGUGGGAACCUGCCCUGGAGUGUGGGAUAACCGAGGGAAACUUCGGCUAAUACCGCAUACGACCUGAGGGUGAAAGAUUUAUCGCUCUAGGAGGGGCCCGCGUCGGAUUAGCUAGUUGGUGGGGUAAAGGCCUACCAAGGCAGUGAUCCGUAGCUGGUCUGAGAGGACGACCAGCCACACUGGGACUGAGACACGGCCCAGACACCUACGGGUGGCAGCAGUCGAGAAUUUUUCUCAAUGGGGGAAACCCUGAAAGGAGCGACGCCGCGUGGAGGAUGAAGGUCUUCGGAUUGUAAACUCCUGUCAUUGGGAACAAGUCGCUUACGUUAAACUGCGUGAGCGUUGAUAGUAACCCGAAGAGGAAGAGACGGCUAACUCUGUGCCAGCAGCCGC